AUCCAGCUGACGAGUCCCAAAUAGGACGAAGUGGCGCGCUUCCUGGAU
rfam:Schistosoma mansoni strain Puerto Rico chromosome 4, complete genome